UGGGGAAUAUUGGACAAUGGGCGAAAGCCUGAUCCAGCCAUGCCGCGUGUGUGAAGAAGGCCUUUUGGUUGUAAAGCACUUUAAGUGGGGAGGAAAAGCUUAUGGUUAAUACCCAUAAGCCCUGACGUUACCCACAGAAUAAGCACCGGCUAACUCUGUGCCAGCAGCCGCGGUAAUACAGAGGGUGCAAGCGUUAAUCGGAAUUACUGGGCGUAAAGCGCGCGUAGGUGGUUAUUUAAGUCAGAUGUGAAAGCCCCGGGCUUAACCUGGGAACUGCAUCUGAUACUGGAUAACUAGAGUAGGUGAGAGGGGAGUAGAAUUCCAGGUGUAGCGGUGAAAUGCGUAGAGAUCUGGAGGAAUACCGAUGGCGAAGGCAGCUCCCUGGCAUCAUACUGACACUGAGGUGCGAAAGCGUGGGUAGCAAACAGGAUUAGAUACCCUGGUAGUCCACGCCGUAAACGAUGUCUACCAGUCGUUGGGUCCUUUAAAGACUUAGUGACGCAGUUAACGCAAUAAGUAGACCGCCUGGGGAGUACGGCCGCAAGGUUA
rnacentral:rRNA from 1 species